UGAAACAUUUAGUCCAUGUUGUGAGGCCGCUCCCGUCUGAAAGAAAAUUAUGUUUCGGUUUCUUUGCGGAAGGAAAUCUGAGGGCGAAAUUUUUGGCCAGAAAUUGGAAAGAAAGGUAUCUUGUCAUUUUUCUCAAAAGUUGAUAGUUUUCGAGUUAGGGGCGAUUUAAAAUCUGAAAAAUGCGAUAAUACGCAUUUUCGAAGCUUAAAAGCUCAGAUUUAUAUUAAUAUACCGCACAUCCCAUUCAAUACCGAUACAACUGCGGUUUUCUUCUUCUACAAAAUAGAUAUUUUAAGACAAGUAAUUGAAUAUUAGAAUAUUAAUAAUUCAAUAGCACACGAAUGGAUAUCUUUUUUU
rnacentral:lncRNA from 1 species